AAGACGGACCCUAGAAAGUCCCGCUAGCA
rnacentral:tRNA from 1 species